GACAGAGGCCCCGAGCGUUAGGCGGAAUCACUGGGCUUAAAGCGUGUGUAGGCGGGCCCGUAAGUGUCUUGUGAAAUCCCACGGCUCAACCGUGGAACUGCUCGGCAUACUGCGGGUCUUGGGCCAACUAGGGGCAGCCGGAACAAGCGGUGGAGCGGUGAAAUGCGUAGAUAUCGCUUGGAACGCCGAAGGUGAAAACAGGCUGCUGGGGUUGCGCCGACGCUGAGACACGAAAGCCAGGGGAGCAAACGGG
rnacentral:rRNA from 1 species